UCUAGGAUAUGCAGGGGCUGGGCAAAAAUCCAAGGCACAGAAGGCAGCCAAAUAUGCAGCCCUGCAGGCCAUACUUGGAUCUGGGGGCUAUAGAGGUGCUGGCUGUCAGGGUAAGUUCUGUGGCCGAAGGAGGAAGUGAGCAACCAACAGACAUGAAGUGACCUCAUUAAAACCACAGUGGUGCUAUUGCAUGAUCCCAAACUGUAAAUGUCUUAUCUGCCAUAGAAGCUAAAGCUUCAACACAUUCCAUGUGUUACAUUUUUAUUUGCUUAAAUGUUAUACAAGGCUCAUUGAAUAAGAGAAAUGGUUCUCAACCUGUUAGGAUCCUGAUUCCUUUUAAACAAGAUGUUGCAGACUGAUAUGCAGAUUGGUGAGACUUGUCGCUGUCAUGUUGUUGUUAUUUUUUUGGGAUUAUUCAGCAAUUGGACUUUGGUCAGAUACAAAAAUAUUUACAAUUUCACAAGAAAAAAAAUACUAAUUAGAGCAAGUCUGAAUUUCAAAAAAUAAGCUUUAAGAGUGUUAACAUCCUUGUUUGAGAUGAGGCAGACCUUCACUGAAAUGAUCACCAGUGGUUGCUAGAUAAAGGAAGUUGGUGAGAUUUCCAUAUUGAUCCCAACUUGAUUUGAUGUCACGAUGACAUACGCAAUGAUAACAUCAUGAGAUCAAGGCGGCCACAGCUUUUGGAACGGGGCACCAGUGAGUGUAUGGCCUAAGGGCAUGAUGGAAAACAUCUGGCUCUCACCUCAUCUAUUAGCUGAUUGUUUUAAAUUAUGACUCAACA